AUUUCUGCAUGUGUCACAGAGGCAUCCUUUGGUUCUAAAGGGAGCUGAGUUGGAUUCCACAAGCGUAUGGUCCUUGUAGCAUGUGAAUAGGAUUCAGUCACGGACGAGAAGGAAGGGUUCGGGGAGACUGUCACCGCCCUGUCCAGGCUAACACUCCAGCUGCCCAGGUGACAGGCUGGCCUGUGUUUGUGUUGUAUUUCAGAGGAGAGCCUGGUGUCACUUACAGCAGACAUUGCAGAUGCCUCAGCAUUUCGGAUGAAGACGUAACCAAGGAGCCUUUGAUUAGUAGUGAAAUUGUGGCACCCCAACAAUGGUGGAGUGGAAUAUCCUGCUACUCUGGAGGGGUGAUGGCUCAGGGUCAAGAC
rnacentral:lncRNA from 1 species